UACCAGACUCCUACGGGAGGCAGCAGUGGGGGAUAUUGCACAAUGGGGGAAACCCUGAUGCAGCGACGCCGCGUGUGGGAAGACGGUCCUCUGGAUUGUAAACCACUGUCCCCAGGGACGAAGAUGACGGUACCUGGGGAGGAAGCUCCGGCUAACUACGUGCCAGCAGCCGCGGUAAUACGUAGGGAGCAAGCGUUGUCCGGAUUUACUGGGUGUAAAGGGAGCGUAGACGGCGGUGCAAGCCAGAUGUGAAAGCCCGGGGCUCAACCCCGGGACUGCAUUUGGAACUGUGCUGCUAGAGUGUCGGAGAGGCAGGCGGAAUUCCUAGUGUAGCGGUGAAAUGCGUAGAUAUUAGGAGGAACACCAGUGGCGAAGGCGGCCUGCGGGACGAUGACUGACGUUGAGGCUCGAAAGCGUGGGGAGCAAACAGGAUUAGAUACCCCAGUAU
rnacentral:rRNA from 1 species